CCCGGAAGAGGAAGGGGGCGUGGCUUAAAAAGGCUUAAAAGGGCCACGUGCGGCUGCGGAUGCUCUGUUUGAAAUGGCGGCGCGUUCAGGGUGCAUAAGUAUGCUUUCUACUUCCCUAUCAAAAUGGAGCAUCCACCCCAGGCCUCCAGUAGGCCUUUCACCGUGUUAUACUGGGUGACUCCGGCUUUAAGGUAUAAGGUUCUGUUCCCAGGAUGAUUGGUCCUUAAAGCUGAAUAUGACGGCCAAGUAGGGCAUCCACCUUCUGAAUAAACCUUGGCCAAGCUGUCUGACUGCAGCUCCAUGAAAGCAGCAAAGAUGAAUAUUUGGAUGGAGUCAUACCGGAGGAGGAAGUACGGCUUUGAAAGGGUUUCCUAGAUCACCACAAGCCCAUUGAAGCCUGUUUCUGUGUUGUUUUACAUUGUUAUUGGUACAAACUUCAUUUUUCUUCCCCUGUAUUUGUAGACUUCAUUAUGUGUAUCAAGGAGGGAUGUGUGUUUGUUUAAAAAGCUUAUUUGCCUCAGACUGAAUUGAACAGCAUUUUCAUUGGUUGGGGAGAAACCAGCUUAGAUUGGAAGUCUUUUGCACAAGAGCAAUUACAUUCUGAGCAAUAUUUAUUAACUUCAAUAAAGAGUUACAGAAGAAACAACAAA